CCUACGGGAGGCUGCAGUGAGGAAUAUUGGUCAAUGGACGAGAGUCUGAACCAGCCAAGUAGCGUGAAGGAUGACUGCCCUAUGGGUUGUAAACUUCUUUUAUAUGGGAAUAAAAUGUUCCACGUGUGUGAUUUUGUAUGUACCAUAUGAAUAAGGCUCGGCUAACUACGUGCCAGCAGCAGCGGUAAUACGGAGGAUCCGAGCGUUAACCGGAUUUAGUGGGUUUAAAGGGAGCGUAGGUGGAUUGUUAAGUCAGUUGUGAAAGUUUGCGGCUCAACCGUAAAAGUGCAGUUGAAACUGGCAGUCUGGAGUACAGUAGAGGUGGGCGGAAUUCGUGGUGUAGCGGUGAAAUGCUUAGAUAUCACGAAGAACUCCGAUUGCGAAGGCAGCUCACUGGACUGCAACUGACACUGAGGCUCGAAAGUGUGGGUAUCAAACAGGAUUAGAUACCCGAGUAGUC
rnacentral:rRNA from 1 species